rnacentral:sRNA from 1 species
CAUGGACAACUGAAAGUUUUUAGGACCAUAAACUUAGGGGGAAAUGAAAAAUGGGAACAAUCGUAUGUCAAGUAUGCGAAGGAACAAUCGCACAUUUUGAAGAUGAGAAAACGACAGUACUUUACGGGAAAUGUGGUACAAAUUGUGAUUGUGCUAAUAGAGAUAAUGCGAAAGCUUA